CCGGCUGCUCACCUCCUCCACCCCUCCCGGCUGCUCACCUCCUCCACCCCUCCUGGCUGCUCACCACCUCCACACUUCCUGGCUUUGGCUCUACUUUGAGUCCCAACAAUUUUACAGUAGUGUCUCUCAUCCUCACCUCCGUCAGUUACAGAUGUCAGCCACUGUGUCCCACCUCUCUGCCCAUCACUGCAAAGAGUGGUCUCUAGACAGCCUACAGUAGGACUUUCAGUACAUUGGCCCUUAUUGGGGUCACCUUGUGAGGGCCGAGAUCACCAGUGAGGAACGGUCUGAGCACCUCUGAUUGUGGGUCCAAGUCUCUCAGAGCCAUAGAAGUCACACAUCUAGGCAUGGAGGAGGAGGAAGAGGAGGAGGAAGAGGAGGAGGACCCUUGUGGUUCUGUGCUGUCAGGGAACUUGGGCACAUGCUCCCUCAGUUAGCUUCAUUUAAUUGUCAGCACACUAGACAAGGUCAAUGACCUCCUCUUGUUAUAUAUAGGGGACAGGGGCUCAGAGAAUUCAGGGUGUUGCUUCCAGCACUGCAGCUGGUUCCCUGGGGAACUGAUGUUUGUGGCCUAGCUUGUCUUAGCCCCACAGCUCCCACACCCAUUAUUUAUGGGACCUAGCCGACACACAGCUCACUGGUGAAGUUUCUGGGAUAGAGCACUCAGAAAUAGCCAGGGCACCAGCCAUUUUUCUAUAGCUUAGUGUCUCCAGGAUCAAGAGCUACUAAUUAGAGCUGGUUAGGGACUGUGAAUGUUGGUCUGCUUAGGGAGUGGGAGGGCUGAGACUCUGGGGAAGAAGCAUGUACGAUCCCUAGCACCCAGGCAGGGUGGGGCAGUCUGCCAGUGCCUGUGCCGAUGUUCAGCCUCUUGUAGCCUCUGCACAGACAUGUUUCUGUACCAGCUUGUGCCAGGACAACUGCCUCAGUUCAUUUAUAGUACUAUAACAAAACACCACAUGAUGGCUUCUAGACAUGAAAAUCAUACUUAUUUAUUUUUCAUGAUUUCGUGUGUGUAUACUUGUGUUCCUGAUAUCCUAUGCAUGGAGCAGAUGUGCAUGCACAUGUGUGAACAUGGAUGUGGAAGUCAGAAAGCAACCUCAGGUCCUUUUCCCAGGAGCCCUGCACCUCUGAUUUUCUUUGUUGUUUGCUUGCUUUGGUUUUGGGGUCAGGUCUCUCACUGAACCUGGAGUUCACUGGUUAGCUCCCUGCCUGAUUCCACCUCCCCAACACAGGGAUUACAAGCCUCUGCCUCCAUGCCUGACUUUUAAUGCAGGCUCUGGAGACUGAAUGCAGGUUCCUCAUGCUUGUCCGGUAGGCACUUCACUGAGUGACUUGUCUCCCCAGCCCGUAUUUCUCACAGUUCUGCAAACAGAAAGUCAAAGAUGAAGCUGAUGGUGGGCACACCUUCUCACGUGUAUGCUACAAGGGCAGAAAGGUCUCAUGUUUCUGAGUCUUGCUGUAUAGCCCAGGCUUGUCUUGAACCUCUGAUCUUCCUGUCUGAGCCUCCCUCAUGCUGGGAUUGCACCCCACACCACCAGGCCUACUGAUUUGAGAUCUCCUACAGAGGCCCUAAUCCCAGUCAUGAAAGCUCUGCCUUCUUGUCCUAUCCAUGUAUCCCAUGGCUCUUGUUUUCUGGAGCGGGGUGUGGGAAAUGAACAUUCUGUCUUCCUUAGAUGUUUUCUGGAAAUUACGGGUAAAACUAUCUGAGCGAGGUGGUUUUUAGUUUUAGUUUUUUUCACUUGUUAUUCGAGAGACUGAACCAAUAUUCCACUUGAGGGGCCCCCUGUUUUAUCUCUUUCUCUUUAAGUGACUUUGUGUCCUUCCAGGAAUCUUUGAACCCUCUCAGGAGUUUGGAAUUUGAAGCUGCCAGAGGACUUAGCUUUCUCUCCCUGGGAACUCAGCAACUAGAGAAAACGUCCCUUUGAACUCUCACUCUUUGUGGAGUCUGCCCAGGCCUCAAAAAUUUGCCUUCUCCAUCCAGGCUUAGUGAGGGCUCCUGGUAUGUGGAACUGGACAAAGGUGACCAUGGUGUGAGGGGAGUGGAUCCAGGAAGGGAGGUUCAGUCUUGGUCACAGAGUGGUCUUGAACUUGAUUGGUCUAACCUGAGAUCAUUUAAGAGCUUGGAGGCUCAAGAUUUCCCUGCUCUUGUCAUUUCCUGAGAAAUACCUGUCUGACCAUCCUGAGGGUCAAGUGCUUUUUAAACCCAUUGUCUCUCUUGGUAGGCCCUGUGGGCUUGGACCUAGCUGCCUCUGGUCGGUUACCCUCAGGAUGAGUGUCAGGGAGCCCUCCCCGCUGCGGAGGUACACCACGUUCGUUCCCUAAGCCAGCUCUGUGAUAUGCGUGCUUUUCCUGCUCCCGAUGCUGAUUCUGAAUGCAUCUGUCCCAGGUGGCUCAGGAGUCUCUGUGGGAACUGGGGUGACAGAUGAUGGGAACUCCAGCAGUAAACUGAGACUGUUCAGUUCCAGCUGAACACCUUAAGCCACUGAGAGGUGGACCAGGUGCAGAACAGCCCUUGUGGUGAGAACAAGCCACUGCCCGGGAGUCACUCAUCCCCUGAAGACGUUCAUUUCUUCACACUUGUUAAAUUAAUUACAUGUCUCCUCACUGCACCAAAUCCCCGAAAAAAGCAACUUAAAGGAAGGGAGUGUUUUGGCUCACAGUUUGAGGGUCCAGUUUAUUAUGGUGAGGAAGGCAUGGUGGCAGGAGUGUGAGGUGAUGCAAUGUGAGGUCACAUGGCAUCCACCAUCAGUAUUGAGACAGAGGUGAUGGGGGAGAGGAGGAGAGGAGAGGAGGAGAGGAGAGAAGGAGAGGGGAGAGAAAUUCUGGUCCUUUUCACGCAUUGUGUGAUGCCAGCCUACUGAAUGGGGCUGCCUUCCUUUAGGGCAAAUCCUCUUACCUGAACUCAAUCUUGAAGCUCCCUCACAGGUAUGCCCAGAGAGAGGCUUGUCUCCUAGAAGACUCUGGAUCCUGUCAGCUUGACAGUAUGAACCCUCACAGCCUUGCAGGGCCUGCCCUUCACUCUUGACUGCCUGCUGAAUGAAGAGAUAGUUCUUCCUACCCAAAGCUGGCUCCUGGAACUCUCUCCCAAACACUCUUUGCAAACAUCUUUGCAGGACGAGAAGACUUCCAGCCCAUCCACCAUCUCUUUUCCUUCCUGUUUAGUUCUCUCCCUCUUUGUACUAGGUUUCUGCAGUAAUUUGUGAAAUACGGUAAGUCUCUCUUACAAACUUAAAAUAUAGCAGAAAUAUCAAAGUCUGCAGCUCCUGCCCGUCCUUCGCUCUGUAGGUGCAGGGUUUCCCACAGGGACUGCCUACACUUGUCUCCAGUGUUUUACCUCCCUGUCACUCUGCCAUCACUGUAAUCUAGCUUCUGCUGGCACUGUGCCACUAAAACACCCGUGCUUCAGGUGACUAAUGGCCUCUAUGCUCUGCAUGAACGCUCUGCGGAGUUCUGUGCAGAUGAGAACAGCAGGUGAAGCCCGAUCUGCCCUCAGCUCCUGGUUCCUCCCAUGCUUUGGCCACACCUCAGUCCCCUGGCAGGUUCGACCUGCAAGACCUCCAUUAGCUGGGGCCUUCUCUUUUCUUACCACUGAAUUUUCACCUGAAAUGAAGCAAUUUCCUUUACAGUCACUUCCUUAUUCUUCUUUGUCAAGGCUCCAGGUUGGUCCAUCCUUUCACGUGGCUUGGCAGCCAGCCCUAGUGGGUACAAACCAGUCAGUCAAAUGUUAACAUCCCUGCAUGGGCUCCAACUUCCUCUGCUGAGUGGCUUUUCUGGGCUUUGUUCCUCUUUUGAUAAGAGAGACCUUAGGGACUUCUGACCUGCUUUUAUUGAUUUUGACUGGAGACAGGGCUCCUAGACUACUGUAGAACUCACUACCUUAGCACCCCACAAAUUUAGUCAAGAUGUUGGGGGUGUUUCCCAAGAAGCGUGGGUUGUCUGUGUCAUAGCGAGAUGAAUCACCCUGUAAUGGCUCUAAGGCCAUGUUUCUUGUUUUGUGAGAUAGUGAGUUCUUUCUUUGUUGACCUCAAUUCAGGUUGAAGUUUUGGUUAUGGGUAGAUAUGAUUGUGUUCUUUCGGCUCCACACACCACUGAUUUGCAAAAUAUACACAUAUUUCUAUAAUCAUACUGGAAUAAUCUUCAGAGCUUCACAUUUGUAUAGCUCAUGGCUGACUGGCUUAGAGUCACACCUUAGCUAUUUUGAAGACCCCUGUCAUUUCUGGAAGCCAAGUCAUGAUCUGUCCCCUUGGCCUCUCUUUCAUCAAUAUUCUCUCCUGAGUGAGUAGUGUUAUGUGUGUCUAGUUUUGCAUACAGGAACCCAGAAACCCUCCUAGAGCUGCUUUUGCCUCAGCCUUUUGGUCAUCCCUAGUAAAUAUCUUUCUAGCUAAAUUUCUCUCCUCAUUGCCUCUCCUGAAAUGUUUAUUCUCUCUGAUCUCACAUAUGAAUGUUCUUAGUACUAUCUUUCCCCUUCCAGAAUAUCUGCCCUUUGCCCUGUUCUAUUCCCACACACCACAGCAAGGUGCUAUCACCUGGAAGGGACCAAUUAAUGCCCAUGUUUCCUGGCGUAUGGUGGUUUCUGAAAGUUAAUAUUUUCAUUUGACUUCAAGAUGGUGUAAAAAGCGAUAGGUAACCAGGAGAAACCAUAUCUCAGGUUUUUAAUUUUUAUGUUUUCAGAGAUAUAGAUAUUCUGUAUGACCCUUUCUUGUGAUGCUGGCCAGAGGCAGUGGGCUGAGGCUUUUUGUUGGCUCUGUGACCACGAGGGGGGCAACUGAUGCCCUGUCAGCCCAUGCUGCAGUGGUGUUUUCAGGUGGUGGAGACAGAACCUUGUCACAAACUGAAGAACAUCAGUCCUUGAGGAAAUAAUGGAUCAGCUAGCCUGGUGUGUACAGUGGUGUGUGUGUGUGUGCAUACAAGAGACCCCGCCUCAAACAAAGUGUGGAAGGUGAGGACUAACAACAACUGAGGUUGUCCUCUGAUGUCCACACGUCUCAUGGCACUUGCACACCUGUACUCACAAACAUGAUCGUAUGCAAGUGUAUGUACGUGGAUACACAUGCAUACGUACCCAUGCUUUGCAUGCAUUCAUACACGCACACACAUCUGCAAGCACAUGUACACACACACACACAAACACACACACACACACACACACACACACUUCACAGGGCUUCAGAGAGAGGAAAGGAAGUUGGAGCCCACAGUAGAACAUUCCUUUUCCUCUCAGGCUUGGCAGAGCGCAACAAACACCUCUGAGAGGAAGACGGUGCCUACUCCUAGUGAAGUGGUACUGACAGAGCCCAGGGACUUGUGCUCUGACCAAACUGUCCUCAGAACAGGAGUGGGCUGAGCCAGCAUGCAUGUGCUGCCUAAAGGCACUUACGGUACUCCUCCUCCUCUUCUUACUGCAGUGAGAAUAGAAAAUGACCGGCACUCAUGCAGCAUUCUCUUCUGAGCUGGCAGCUUGCUUUCUGGCUGCAGAUAAGCAGCAGGUAUGAGGGAUGUUUGUCAAACCGGCCUCUGAGGGGAACUUUCCCUUCUGCUUUUCCUGUCAAACUAGUGAGUGAAUGCCAUUUCUGCUCCACACUGCAAGCUCCUAGUGUGCAGGUGAAGCUCUGGAUGCUCCCCCCUGCCCCCCCCCACACCCGGCAAGCAGUGGGUCCACAGAGCCCCUUCUGCACUCUUGUGUGUCUGGUUUCUUGGACUAAGCACAGGAUGAAUCAUCCUUGGGGAAAGGUUGAUGGGUGGAGACGUGAGACGCCCAGGAGGAUGUGACUGGCCUGCAGGCAGGACCCUGCACAGUGUGUUCCCCUCCACAGAACUUGCUUCCAGCAGGAGGCACUGGGGGAAGGGUGUUCCCUCCCAGGAGGCUCCUUGGCUCUACUUGGCAAAUGUUACAGUGUGCUACCACGGCUGCAAAUCUCCUCCCUGGUCUUCUGCUCUAGUGGCCCAGCUGUGGUGUAGGGAGCCUUGAGCGCCCCGAGUGGAGAGCUAAACUGCAUCUAAAGUGGAGGAGCAAAGCCAGGGAGAUGACGCUGGGGUGGCUCGAGUCUGAACUGUCCCCCAGGUUCAUGAGUUUGAACAUCUGGUCCUCGUGUGGGGGUGCUACUUGGUGGGUUAUGGAGCCUUUAGGAAGUGGAUCCUGGCUUGAGGAAAUGAGUCACCAGAAGCAGGCUUUUGAGCUUUUAUGACCCGGCACCACUUCCUGUAAAGGCUCUUCUCUUCACAGUGUGACCUGCUGGCUUCCCGCCCCACCCCUACUAUGUGUCUUUCCUCCCUCCCUCCCACGUGACUUCCCCACAACAGUGGCCCAUAUCCCCUCCAACUGUGAGCCUCAGGCAUUUUGUCACAGCAUGGAGGAAUGUAGCUUUGCAUAUGCUGUCUCGGGCUUGCCCCGUGGGGUGGCUUGGCAGUGCAGUGCUCCAAACUCGAUAUCAAGGGUCUGUUACCAUAUUCAUGGCAGCAUUUGGGGACCCACAAAUCUGAAACCUGGGCCAGUGUGUUUUCCCUACAGCAGAGACAUUCCUCCUCAAGAAGUCCAGAGCCUCCACUCGCAUUGGCCUCGGUUACUGUUCUGAACACAAUAUUCCACUGGACAGCAAAGGCCCUCAUUCUCCCUUAGGGCUCUAUGAGGGUCAGAUUCCAAAUGGAGCAAUUGAACAACUUCUCCAUCACUUACUAACAUAUAUUUGGGUUUCAUGGGAUCCUGCCUGGUGAAAAGCCAUGUUCCCUGGGGAUUGGCAGCUGCCCAGAAUAGCAAAUUAGUGACAAUUAGUGACAGGGUCCAAGAGACAAGGGCUUUUAGAUGAAGUGUACACGAGUGGGAAGCCUGGCCAGAGAGAAGCUCCAUGGUGCAGGUCAGCUUCCAGUGCAAAGGAGCAGUCUUCCUCCACAUAACUGUGUGGAUGGAGCCUCUACUUCCUGUCUUGUCCUUUCUGGAGAAGGUCAAGGACACUGGAGACAAGACAGGGACCACUCUGCUUUGUCAGCUGCCUGGGCAGCUGGCAAGAGUCUGAUGAGUACCACUUGUGGAUAUGAGAUCUGUCCCUGGGAAAUGGGGGCUGGCUCAGAACUCGAGUGUCAGAGCCAUGAGCAGCGGGAGCCCACUUGAGGGGAGCUGACAGUCACAGUGGGUGCCGCAAGGCCAGGACGACCAGACACUGGGAAAACCAGGAGCUGAGAGGCCGCGCUUAGCGCACACUGUACCAGAGCAGCCAGGCAGGACUAGAACUGCGGCCCCGCUCUUCUGCAGCCUGCUUGCCGAGUUUCACUUGAACUUGUGUUCCCAUGGCGUCAGGUCACUUCUCAAGCGGGCUCACCCAGUCAGUUCUCUUUGAUCAUGAAAGUAAUCCAACACAGCUACGUGUACAUGUGGAUGUUCCAAGCCCAUUGUGCAAUGUUUUGACUCCACGACUGUCUCUUCCGUAUGCUUGUCUUUAGAGGGGCUGAGAGUGCUGUUAAGUAUCUCCAUUCCAUGCAGGGGGUGAACUAGAAUGGAGAUGGCCCCUAGGAUUGUCCUUAGGCCAAUGCAAGUGUUCUGUUUCCUUAAUUCAUGCUUUCUGGCCCCGUGGAAUGGCCCAACACUAUGGCGCCAGCUGUCCCUACUGGACUCAGUGGGGCCUGAAGCAACGUGUGUCCUGGGAAUAGAGAGUUUAAGAAACAGGCAUUUUCUCCACCCCCAGGCAUUGGGAACCACACACAGACUACUGUCUCUGACUCAGCAGCUCAUGCUCUCCAGCGGAAAGCCAUAUCAAGCAGGAAUCGGCACUGUGUAUGAGCCAGGAGAACCCUCAGCUGACCCGUUUUCAUUGCUGAUGGAAGUUUUAGUACCACAUCUCUGGUUGUCGCUCCUUUGAACAUGGCAAUGUACACAUGGAACUGAUUCUCCAUUUGUCUAAAGCAGAAUCAACCUCAGCUUUCCUAUUUGGGGCAAAUCAAGUGCUCUGAAGGGAAGAAGAAAUGGCCAGAAAACACAAUCUGUCUCACAAAAGACAGAGGCCUAGAGGGAUGUGCUCCGGCUUUUACAAAGGCAGCUGCAGAGGAUUCUGUGGGUAAAGAAUUAAGAGAGGAGCAGGUCAAGAGCCUACCUGCCUCCUGGAGAUAGUGCCAGUGAGCACCACACCCCCUUGGCAGAUCUACACGGCUGUCACCUCUGCUGUCGGGAUGCCUGAGAGUUAUAACAGCUCAGGGCACAGGGAGAAGGGAAUUCUGGGCAUCUCAUCCAUCCUCCCAUGACUCACUGCUACUGCUUAGAUGUAGAAUGUCUCAUCUAGCCCAAGUAUUGGAAGUCUGCUGAGUGGCUUUCUUUUGCUGUAUGCUCUGGCCAUAAUGUGCCACUCCAGACCCCGAGCGAUGAGAAGAAUGAUGCAUGAACUGACGCCUCCAAAGCUCUGAGCCCAAAUAAACCUUCUCUGCCAAUAAGCUGAGUCUGGAGGUUUGCUAACACGAUGGAAGGCUGACUGAUGACAUGUUUGUCUGCUGGGAGGAAGGCACAGAAAAGGACUCCCUGGGGCCAGAGCCAUCCUAGCAUUAAAUACUGCUGAGAAACCUAGAGAUGCUUGAAGCCACAGCAGACCUCCCAGAAAGGUGAGAUCUUUGCUGGAACCCAUAGAUGGGGCAUGAAGUCAGUGUUCAAAUGAUGACCUUUGGGCUUGAAGGAGCCAUGAAAGUCACCACUGGCAAGAUGUUAAAAGAAGUCUGUUGCAUACAUUCUUAUUUAGCACCAGAGAUAUUGGAGGGCCUGGGGUAUCACAGACUUCCCACCAACACAUGAAGCCUUGGCAUACUGAUUUACACUAUGGUCACUGGGUUCACAUUAUACAAGGCACCAAACCCUUCAGAUCUGCACCAGCUGAUCACAGGCACUCAAGGCCACCAAGCAUGUGAAAAACUGGCAAAUCUUUAUAUCCUAUUUGCCUGUUGUAAGUUCUGGGGACAGGAUAACCAUAGACCAACUCAUGGAGCACCUAAGGCUAUGUCUCCGUGAUGAAGCUUUGUCACCAGCCCCUCACAGAAAUCAUCCCAAUAAUUCGAAUCACCAAGAUUGUGGAAGCCAUGGGCACGGUGAGCUACAAAGUCCAAGAAAUCGUGGAACAUGUAGGAAAGAGAAAGCCUAAUGAAGUCUCAGCAGCAGGCACUCUACUGAAAUACUGAUUAAGCCAUGGGCACGUUUUCAUCAAACAGGAAAGUUUGUGAAGUGCCAUUCAAACAUGGGCCCUACAGGUCCUCUCCCCUCCUCCUCCCUCUUAAUUUCAUCUCAUCUCGGAAGAGCCAACUGCAAGAGGUGGAUGAAAAAGGAAGGGGCAAGGGAUGCUCGAGGUCUAGCUUACCUGACCUAUUAUGCCGCUGUCCUUCUAAUCCAGCCCCACAAGAUAUUGCUGUGGAUGCCAGUAGCAUCCGCAGUGCUAUGGAGAUCAGUAUUGACUUGAGAUUCAGUGAAACAUCGCCUGAUGAUAUAGCCUCCAUGGAGCCUCCCCAGGAUGGGGAAACCAAAGAUGAGAACGACAGGGGCAGGUCCCCCAAGGAACCAUCACUGGGUCCUAUCAUCAGCGACCACCAGCCCCAGUUGCACCCACAGCCUCCAGCACUACUAGACGAAGGGAUGAAAGGAGGAGAGGAGGCACAUUGUUCACUUGCUUCAUACUCCAUGUUGUUGCCUCCCUACCUUGGAGGAAAACCGUGCAUUUCCCAGGAGUAGAAACAACCCCAGGUCUGUGGUCAUCAAACCACAGGGCUGGGGUCAGCCUGGUAUGGACUGAGAGCUACAGGAAGGAGCCAAGCCAGAACUCCAGGAGACUGUAUGCUCAAAUGCCUGUUGCCAGACAGACUUCCCUGGGAAUCAGGCACAAGCUCCUCCACCCCUCCCCUAGCUGCCGGGUCUGAGCUAACAGCUCCUGCCUCCUUUAGUUCACUGGGUCUCCAAUACUGUUGUCCGGAGAAGGACAUGGUCCACAUGGCUUCCACCUUAUGAAGCUACAUUCCUCCAGUAUAGAUGGGAUGGAACACCCACAGUGAGAGAACUGAGUGCCCCACUGGACUCAAGGACCUUCAUCAGCUUGAUCCCUCAUCCUCACCAACAUUAUCACCAACUGCUGCAGAAACUGUUUUCCAUCCUCUAAGCACCAAAGGUGUUGGUUCCCCAUCCCAGGAUUCCAGAAACUGGUAGAAGUUUUCCUAUCCCGCUGAGAGAUUUCUUGACCGUCAUUUUGACUAGGCUUUUGAGUUUUUUUUCUGUGACACCUAGGCAGGGAUCGCCUUUCCUUGUUACAGAGGACAGAGGUGUCCAGGCGGCCUUAAACUUUCUGCCCAUUCUCCAGACAGACUUUUGGCUUGCUACCUGAGAGCAGAGAAUUAGCUUCUCCAGACAACCUCGAAAGGGUUUGAGAAUGUGUCCUCUGCUGAGCCCCACAAAGUCAAUGUAUAACUGUGCCUGCCCUCUGGACAGAUCACCCGGGGAAGGGCGGUGUCUCCCUCCCUCCUGUCCCAGGACACUGCUAAUGGGAAUAUGAGGAACUUGAGAACAUCCAUAUGGACAAUCUCUCGUUGGCCUUCUCAGGACUUGGUCUGCCCUGAAGGAGCCACAGCUCAGUCAGGCUGCAUUUGAGAUCACAAGUUUUAACUAAACACAGAGCACAGUAGCUGAUGCAUGCUAUUGGUGACUACCCGGAUGGUUUAGAAGACACUGUAAAUGAACUCCAAGGGCUCUCAUGUCCAUGAGUGCCAAGACAAAUCAGGCAGAUGGUGGUACACACAGAGACGGAAAGAUUGAAUACUUGCAGCAGGGGUAGUGACACAGUUCUGAAACCUCCUUUUGUGAGGACUGCUGUUACCCUUUGUUGUCAUCCCACAAGAAGAGGGCCUGGCAUCAGGGAUAGUGCUCAGCUCGCAGCUCACAACGGAACCCCCAUCUCCAGGGAAUGGUCAACUGCACUGCAUGAGUGUGACAGUGCAUGGCUGUUUCCAUGUACUGCUUCGCUUUUCUCUGCAGGGAUCUGUCUCCCCACUUGCAGAGCACAGAGGUGUCCAGGUGGCACUAACUGCCCUCACACAUUCCCCAGGCUCCUUUCUGCUGCUACAGGACACCCUCCGUUGGGGUACGUUCCAUCAGGUCUCAAGUUUCUUCCCGCCCUGGAAUGCCUGCAAACCAAACGGGAAACAGUAGUAUCAUUAGACAUGCCAAACUCUGAGCUCCUCUCAUUGUGAGGUUUGCAGCUUAUCAUCUUUGCGUUUUUUUUUUUUUUUUUUUUUUUUUUUUUUUUUUUUAGUUAGAUCCCAUUUGCUUAGUAAAACUUUCCCAGAAAACACAAACAAAAACCAGAAAACCAACGACCCUUUGUCCUAAGGAAUGAAGACAAUGAAGUAGAAACAUGGAAUGAACUGUCUAGGUCUUGUGUGGGUCUCCUCCAGGAAUCCUGUGAGCCACAGGGUUCCCCUCUCUAUACUGCUGCCUCAUGCACACAGUUCGGAGUCAUCUAUCCCACAGUGUCUCCGAUGUAGUCAGACCAUAAUCUAAGGAGCGGCUGUAGCUUGGGCCACAGCACAUCAACCUUUCUUGUACCUUUGGAAGUGCAAAUGAGAGGUGCCAGUUCAUUAGACCCAUGCUGCUAGGUAUGGUGUGCAGGGUGCUGUGGAGUCCUAGACAGGCUGGAGACUGGACCACGGACAGAAACCUUCAGAAACCGGGGCCCAAAUCACUCUUCCAUGGUUGUAAGUUGAAUACCUCAGGGUUUGUACAUCGAAGGAAGGCUGACUGGCAUACUUGUCUCCUUGGAGGAAGAAGGCAUUGUAUGGAUUUUCCCUCCAAAUUGCUUAAGGAAGAGACUCUGAGUGGUGCAAAUGCAGAGAAGAAGGGGUUUGGACUGCAGGGAGCCCCAGGUCUGCAGCCUCUGUGGACUGUCACCCAAGUUUGGGUGGGCUUUCCGGUGAUAGAAAUUGCUAGAGUCAUUGCUGUACCUUGUGCAGAACAUCUCAUCAAUAUUCCCGGUCGUAACCCCAAUAAAACCUCAUUGUCUCACCAACUAGAA